rnacentral:rRNA from 1 species
AUUGAACGCUGGCGGCAUGCUUUACACAUGCAAGUCGAACGGCAGCACGGGUGCUCGCACCUGGUGGCGAGUGGCGAACGGGUGAAUAAUACAUCGGAACGUACCUUAUCGUGGGGGAUAACGCAGCGAAAGCUGUGCUAAUACCGCAUACGCCCUGAGGGGGAAAGCGGGGGAUCGCAAGACCUCGCGCCAUUAGAGCGGCCGAUGCCUGAUCAGCUUGUUGGUGGGGUAAAAGCCCACCAAGGCGACGAUCAGUAGCUGGUCUGAGAGGACGAUCAGCCACACUGGGACUGAGACACGGCCCAGACUCCUACGGGAGGCAGCAGUGGGGAAUUUUGGACAAUGGGGGCAACCCUGAUCCAGCAAUGCCGCGUGAGUGAAGAAGGCCUUCGGGUUGUAAAGCUCUUUUGUCAGGGAAGAAACACCGGCUCUAACACAGUCCGGGAAUGACGGUACCUGAAGAAUAAGCACCGGCUAACUACGUGCCAGCCGCCGCCGUAA